rnacentral:snoRNA from 1 species
AUGCAUCUUACUCAAAGCAUUAAAUUAGAUGCAGAAUCAACUGCACGCAAGAGCACCCUGGAGAGACUCUGACGGCGCAGGUCACCCCAAUACCUGUGGCUGCCACUCAUCUUUCCUGUAAGA